AUGUAUAUUUUCUACGUCGCCCGACAAGACUACUCACAGCAUGAGGCUGACGCUAAUGGUUGUCUCUUUGGCCCUGGAGCCUGGGCAUUUCCAUUGUAUUCCUUCCACCCUAUUUUCCUUCCAACCCAUUACCCCCCCCCUCCUCCUCCUCUCCUUUCCCUCCACUCCCUCCUCCCACACCUUUCCUACUCUCCUUCCCCCACCACCAUCUCCUUCUUCUCCUCCUCCUCCUCCUUCUCCUCCUCUUCUUUCCCCCAACCACUACCUCCUUCCCUCCUCCUUUCAAGGGGCCUGGGACCCCUUUCCUCCUGUUCUGUCACCUGGAAGUACUCAGCAGCCCCUGAGGCCAGCCCUAGCCUGCUAUUGACCAAGCGACCGGAGUACCAAGGAACGCACUGUUCCUGUUUGUUGAGCCUUUUUAUUUGGCAAAUCAUGGAGAGAGCUCUCUCAGCUUCCAGACUUGCCUCUUCGAUCCUCCCUCUUCUUCCUUCCUCCUUCCCUCUCCCUCCCGUCCCUUCCUCCAUUCUCCUCCCCCCUGCCUCCACUCCCUUCUUCUCUCCUUCCUCCACUCCCUCCACUCCCCACCCCCUUCUUCCUUCUCCUUGUCCUCCACCAGUCCGGCCUAUCCUCUCCCAAGUUCCGCGCUGCUCCGUCCUGGCCUCCGGACACUCCCCGGAGAGGCCCUUGGCUGCCCGGCUGCCUCCUCCCUGCGUCAGCGCCUCCCACCCUGGAGGCCUGCGCCGGGCCCCUGCUCCUCCGAGUGCUCACUACGGCCACUCCUCAAACCCCGGCCCGCCCUCCUCCCUCCCAGGGCGGCCUCCCAGGGCGGCCUCCCCGGCAGCCCGCGCCGCUCUGCCCACGCCCCCACCCGCCCCCACCGCCACCACUGGCUCCAGCAGUCAGAAAAAAAUCACCGCGUCCCCGAGCGGGGACCGAGGCACUGCCCGCCCCAGCUUCUGCUCCCGACACAGUGCAGGCGGCCUGGAGCCCCAGCGGCCGAGCAGCCUGCGCCCCGCGGGUCCUGCGGACAGUAGCGGCCCUGGGCGCGGUCUGAGCGCGGGCGCCGCGAGUCCCAGCACUUCCCGCCGCGCCGCCGAGCCCCGGGGCGGGAGGAGGAUGCGGGACCCGCAGGGAAUUCAUUCCUGUCCCAGCCCUGGCCGCCCUUCUGACGGCGGAGCUGGCGAAACCCGCUGCCCGCCGAGCAGAAGCUGA
rnacentral:lncRNA from 1 species